AAACGGGUGGGCCCUCGAAUUCCGAGUGGCGGGAAAGGAUUCAGUUGAAUGAUGUCGAACUCUGUUGGAUGUCAAUCGAGAUGGAUUUWUCCGUUUYGUGUCGAUGUUCCGGAAAGUAGGCGUUGGACGACGCAUUUCUUUAUACCGCCCAGUGGACGCCGCUACCGGUUGGAGCAGAGCUUGAAAGGUGGUAUAGUGGGCGGCUGAUGUCCGUAAGGAUUGACGUUUAGCCUCUUUCCGUUCCGUAUGGCUUCUGAU
rnacentral:rRNA from 1 species